AGCAGCCGCGGUAAUUCCAGCUCCAAUAGCGUAUAUUAAAGUUGUUGCAGUUAAAAAGCUCGUAGUUGAAUUUCGGGGUCGGUAGGUUGGUCAUGCCACUGGUAUGUACUGGUCUCACUGAUUCCUCCUUCCUGAUGAACUGUAAUGCCAUUAAUUUGGUGUUGCAGGGAAUCUGGACUGUUACUUUGAAAAAAUUAGAGUGUUUAAAGCAGGCUAACGCCUGAAUACAUUAGCAUGGAAUAAUGAAAUAGGACGUUCGAUCCUAUUUUGUUGGUUUCUAGGAUUGACGUAAUGAUUAAUAGGGAUAGUUGGGGGCAUUAGUAUUCAAUUGUCAGAGGUGAAAUUCUUGGAUCGUCGCAAGACGAACUACUGCGAAGGCAUUUGCCAAGAAUGUCUCCAUUAAUCAAGAACGAAAGUUAGGGGAUCGAAGACGAUCAGAUACCGUCGUAGUCUUAACCAUAAACUAUGCCGACUAGGGAUCGGGCGGUGUUAUUAUUUUGACUCGCUCGGCACCUUACGAGAAACCAAAGUGUUUGGGUU
rnacentral:rRNA from 1 species